rnacentral:rRNA from 1 species
CACCCAUGUCUUUUGCGCACUUGUUGUUUCCUGGGCGGGUUCGCCCGCCACCAGGACCAAACCAUAAACCUUUUUUUUAUGCAGUUGCAAUCAGCGUCAGUAAAAACAAUGUAAUUAUUACAACUUUCAACAACGGAUCUCUUGGUUCUGGCAUCGAUGAAGAACGCAGCGAAAUGCGAUACGUAGUGUGAAUUGCAGAAUUCAGUGAAUCAUCGAAUCUUUGAACGCACAUUGCGCCCUUUGGUAUUCCAAAGGGCAUGCCUGUUCGAGCGUCAUUUGUACCUUCAAGCUUUGCUUGGUGUUGGGCGUUUUUUGUCUCCCUCUUUCUGGGAGACUCGCCUUAAAACGAUUGGCAGCCGGCCUACUGGUUUCGGAGCGCAGCACAUAUUUUGCGCUUUGUAUCAGGAGAAAAGGACGGUAAUCCAUCAAGACUCUACAUUUUUAACUUUUGACCUCGGAUCAGGUA